rnacentral:tRNA from 1 species
AUCCGCGUGGCGUAAUUGGACAGCGCACUCGACUUCUAAUCGAGGGGUUGCGGGUUCAAGUCCCGCCGCGGAUA